rnacentral:rRNA from 1 species
ACGGAGGGAGCAAGCGUUGUCCGGAAUUAUUGGGCGUAAAGCGCUCGUAGGCGGGAAUUUAAGUCCGGGAGUAAAUAAACAGGCUUAACCUGUUGAUCAUUCCGGAUACUGGAUUUCUUGAGGACAGGAGAGGAAAGCGGAAUUCCUAGUGUAGCGGUGAAAUGCGUAGAUAUUAGGAGGAACACCAGUGGCGAAGGCGGCUUUCUGGCCUGAUCCUGACGCUGAGGAGCGAAAGCCAGGGGAGCGAACGG